CAGAAGCGCCAUACUGGUGCUAUAUUCCCCCUGUCUGAUGGGGCCAAAUUCCUCAAGAAUCCCAAAUGAUGAGUCUGCAAGGGUGGAAAGUGUGGCUGAGGCUUCAACAUGGUAUCCACACUGCAAUACGGAUGGAGACAGGAAGUCUUCCCCAUGGCCUAUGCCACGUGAUGCAAUGGUGUCUCUCAGCUGAAUGAGCAAUUUAAUACCAGCAAAUCUCCUACCAGUAUGCAAGACUGCUGAUGCGGUAAAGGCAUCUUUAUGUACAAGCUGCCUUUUCAAAGGCUCAAAGAGGGAACCCUCACUGUAUUUCCAACCAGCAGUUUUUAAAGGAGUAUAUCCAUUGUGCUGUUCUGUUCUGAGUGCUGAGGCGAUGACACCUCCCUAGUUCAGAUAGAUGCCAGUUUGUCCCCCAAAGGAAGCUGCCUUCUUAAUUUAGAACAACGGCACCAACAGUUGAAGAUGGACAUCCUUCUGGCUUAUGGGUUGUGGAUGCUUCUCAGUCUUUCCACUGCAAAUGCCACCUGGUGCCAUAACUGUGAGAAGAGAUCCCCCGAAGAUGUCUGUCCCAUUACACAGGAGUUCUGCUGGGCAGGUCCAACAGCAGGGUGCUUCACAAAGAACCGCUACCUUGGAGGAAGCACAAUUGGUACAGAAACCGGUUGCAUCCAUGAAUGCCAGAAUUUCAAAAGGGGUGGCAGUUUCCUGUGGUUNGAAGUCUAUUGCUGUUUCACAGACUACUGUAAUGCAUAGUUGCAGAAAUGGCAGGGCUCUGGCUAGGGAUUGGGUUCCAGAUAACCACCGUCUGGAUCUUUUAGCCCAGCCGAGAUCCCUUGCUGCUCUUCUUCCUUUUAACCUUUCUAAAGCAGACAGACUUCACUUACAGGCUGGUUUUGCCUCUUUCCCUCAAAUUUAGCAUUGAUGCUUAUAUGUUCGCCUUUGCGGCUAGAAGCAAAUCGGUCAGACAGGCCUUUUAAAGUCUUAGCAGACCUCUUCCAACACUCAAGCUUUUUGCUUAUACUCAACUCCAUUUCUGUAUCUGUGUCAUUGUCGUGCAGUUCAGCGACUUCUCUUGCUCCUCGCAUUUUGUUGCCGAAAUCAGAUUAACCUUCGAGACAAGCUGUUCAAGUGCAAAGGACACACCUUGGAAUCCUUUCCUCUGUAUCUGUAAUUGGUUCCCCACAGUGAUAAAUUCCUCCUGAUAGUNCCCUUGCUGAAUGAGAGGAAUUCUUGGAACCAGCUCUACCUCCAAUCCUUUUAUUUUAGCCAGGAAAAAGUUGCUAUGCAAGAGAAAUAGCUAAGUCAUAGAUGGUCUCAUAGGUGUGAUUCUUUUCAUGNCCCNCCAGAAGAUANUUAUGGGAAACCACUUCUGUNUCUGCUCUGAGAAUUGCAGGCAUAUGUGUAUGUGUUACCAGAAGUAGUCCUGACUUCCUUUUUAGCUUCUAGAUCCAAUUCAGGGUGUUAAUGCUGACUUUUAAAGCCUUUGGGUCCCAAAUAUUUGAAGGACGGUGUCCUCCCAUACAGAUAUGUCCGACAUCUAUGGUCCUUGGGAGAGGCUCUCCUUUGGGUCUGUCACUUGAGGUUGCCCUUGAUAAACAACCAGGAAGAGAGCCUUGUCUGUGGUGGCCCCCAGGCUAUGGAACAACCUUUCUGCAGAAAUUUACCAGGCAGUAACAGGGAGCAGUCUUCACCAAAUGGUCAAAGUUGCAUUUGUUUAAUUUGGCGUUAGAUCUUUAAGGGUAUUUUAUGUAUAUUUUAACCUCCUAUUUUAUCNUUUUCUUUUUAUUUCAUUUUGUAAGCCACCCUGAGACUGAAGUAUUGGG
rnacentral:lncRNA from 1 species